CCUAACUUAUCCAGUCCGAUACGGAGGGCGCCGAUGCAGUAGAUGCCGUUGCAGCGGGCGGCUCUGUUAUCUGAUUGGGCGCCAGCGAUCGCAUGAUCUUGUUUAUGCGUAGGCGGCUCUUAUCUCUUGUGAGCGCGGACGGCUCGCCGGCUAGGUUUCGGUGUAGGUUUAGAAGUAAGCUUUAGUUUAGAAUUGGACGAAUAAAUGAACGGAGCGACUCCGACACGAGUCGUAAAACGUGCAUUGAUAUAAUUAUAUUGUUGAGCCUUAAGGGCCAACGAAAUAGAGGGCAAUUACCCUCUCAACAUAAUCUUCGGUAGAAGACUCAGUUGCCAACCGCAACCACCAUCCCCCGCUACAAGAGCGGGCCACGGGAACCCGAUCGCUGCCGCCGGAGCCAACGCAACGCAUACCGCAGCUCGGACCAAAAACGACAUAAAGUUAAUUGACAUGCUAGUUCAUGUAUAGGAAUUGUUUCCUUUUAUACCCGGUACUCGAAGAGUAAAUAGGGUAUAUUGUAUUUGUGCGAAUAACAGUUGUAUGUAACGCACCGAAGGAAGCGUUUCCGACCCCAUAAAGUUAAUUGGCGCCCAACGGGAUUUAGGAUCCACGUCCCCAAGAAAAAUAACAUGUAAGUGACUGUUCGGAAAAAAUAAAGCUUGUGAGAGAAUUUUGAUCUCCCCUUCACUGAUCGUUCAUGAGUUGGGACUAUAGAAACAAGGUCGAGCCUAGACUUAUUGUACCAGCCACCAGUCAGAACAGUGCAGAAUCAAUUUAAAAUGGACCCAGCGAUGAUAAAAGCGUUAGUAGAAGGCGCAAUCAACACAGCCCUCGUCGAACAGGAACGACGACUGAGUGCAGAAUUUAGCAGGGAACUCGAAAAAGUUAGAAAUAGUGUGAGCGCUCUAACUGUAGGUGUCCCUCAGGUGGAAACUUAUAAGAGAGUGACCAUUGACACUAGGAUAAAAUGUGAAGUGAAACUAGAUAUCAUAAAAUCAGUACCAACUUUCAACGGGAAUCAUGAGGAAUAUGUGUCUUGGAGACAAUCUGCUCUAGAUGCGUACGAAGUUUUCAAAAACUACUCUGGUAGUCAGACACA
rnacentral:lncRNA from 1 species